GACAGACCUGAAUUCGAUUAUCUAUCGAUUAUCCAUUGAUUGACAAAUAUUCAUAUCAUUUUCACAUAAAAAUAUACUUAGGGCAUUGCCCUUAUUUAAAAAGAAAGUCCACCUCAAAUGCUUAACUCCUCAAUCACUUUCUGCUUCAACCACAAACAACGUCCAAAGUUCACCCUUUUUAAAAUAAUAUGAUAUGCUAAAAAUUAGACUUUGCAAAAUACCUUAAUUUAAAACGAUGCAUGCAUCCUACGUGCGUGUGCUCAAAUUAUUCAUCAUUCUUUCACAUAGAUGAACAUACAUAUUCUCGCACAAUCAGUCCAACGCCUACUCAAAAUUAUUUAAUUAGCCAAGUAGAAGAUACUAAACGCAAACUACAGAGCAAUUAAACACAAACUCUCCAACCCAUUUAUUUAAUUUACAAGGCCCAACUAAAAGUAUUAAAGUAACCCAACACUUAAAAGCUAAAGCAAGAAAAAGAAACAGUAGCAUAGUAUACUCCCUGCCACCACACGUCUACUUCCCAAAGACAACUCAAACCAGCAACUCUCUCUCUCUAAAUCUCACGCUCUCUCUGCCAUUCUUCUACAACUCUCACAAAUAAGCACAAAGCUCACUCUCAAUUUCUCGUCUCUUCCUCUCCUCUGUACUCUCCCUUCCCUAUUAUCAAUUUUGCAAAACGUCAAUCCAAAUUCUCAUCUCACAAUUUAAAGUUUCAAAACAGAAACUGCAAAACCCAAAUUAGCUCCGUCACCGCCGAGCUCCAGCCGUCUCAGCUCCGUUCACCAACCGCCGCCACCAAGCACAAACCGUUAUUAAUGGGCAUCAAGAAUUGAGUUUGGAAGAAACAAAAAGGCAACAUCUAAUCAUUAAAGGUCGAGGCUUUAAUAAAUCAUUCAACAAUUUUUCAAGGGUGAAAUAAAUUCUCAUGGAGGAACUACCGUGAAUCAUGAACUAUGCCAAGAAAAUUGAGGGGAAAAGGCUAUACCUGUUCGUUUCAAGGAAUGAACUUCAAUGUGCAAGGGGAAAACUUGAUGAAACUCACGGCUGCCCUACUCCACACGUGAUGAAAAAUUUGUGGGACGGUUUGGGUGUAUAUAUUCACGUAUAAAUUGUAGAUUUGAAACUGAUAUGGAGUAGUAUAAUAAUUCUGUAGAGAUUUGGUUUGCUGGAGAGAUUUUAGGAAGUUAAGAUAUGGGGAAAUCGUUUGGUGAUGGGGUUUGGAGAAAUAUAUUUGACCAAGUACAUGACUACAAAUUUGAAAUAAAUAAUUGAUUUUUUUUU